rnacentral:rRNA from 1 species
UACGUAGGCAGCGAGCGUUGUUCGGAGUUACUGGGCGUAAAGGGUGUGUAGGCGGUUUUCUAAGUUUGGUGUGAAAUCUCCCGGCUUAACCGGGAGGGUGCGCCGAAAACUGGGAGACUAGAGUGCGGGAUGGGAGAGUAGAAUUCCUGGUGUAGCGGUGAAAUGCGCAGAUAUCAGGAGGAACACCGGUGGCGAAGGCGGGUCACUGGCCCGGUACUGACGCUGAGGCGCGAAAGCGUGGGGAGCAAACAGG